rnacentral:tRNA from 1 species
GGGGUUGUAGCUCAGUGAUAGAGCGCUUGCCUAGCACUUGCCUAGCAUGUGUGAGGCACUGGGUUCAAUUCUCAGCACCACA